rnacentral:lncRNA from 1 species
AGCUUUUACAACUGGGACGCUGAUAUUGCUGUUAGUAAUUCAAGUCCCAACUAUCAAGUGAUUGCCGAUAAUCCAGAAGGCUUACUUUUCAGAUACAAAAGAGACAGAAAAAUUCUUAAUGUGGACCCAAAGGCGCAGCCAGGUGACAACUCUACUAGAAUCACUAUCCUGACAGAACUCUACGUACAAGCUGUCAUUUUUGACCACAUUUCCAGAAGGAAGACUUAA